rnacentral:pre_miRNA from 1 species
UCAACCCAUUUAACCUUCUAACCCAUCAAAUUAAAUGAGUCCAUGGGUUGACUCAACUCAUUUGGCUAAAUGAGUCAGUGCAACCCAUGAACUCAUUUAACUCUAAACUCAUUGGGUAAUGAGU